UAUAUUUUAAUGUAAAAUGCAUAAAAAUUUUUGAAAUUUUUAGAAAUAAUUAAAAUUUAUUAAAUGUAA
rnacentral:tRNA from 1 species